rnacentral:rRNA from 1 species
UACAGAGGGUGCAAGCGUUGUUCGGAAUUAUUGGGCGUAAAGGGCGCGUAGGCGGUUUGUCGCGUCUGCUGUGAAAACUGGAGGCUCAACCUCCAGCCUGCAGUGGGUACGGGCAGACUAGAGUGCGGUAGGGGAGAUUGGAAUUCCUGGUGUAGCGGUGGAAUGCGCAGAUAUCAGGAGGAACACCGAUGGCGAAGGCAGAUCUCUGGGCCGUAACUGACGCUGAGGAGCGAAAGCAUGGGGAGCGAACAGG